AGUCACUCCUGGUACACCUACACCUGAUUCUAUUCUCUCUUCUUUCUCUUCAAUUUGAAUGAAUUGGUGAUGUUAUUUUACUAUACAGCAGAAGCUCAUGAUUCCACUCCCUCUACUGUCCCGCCCGUCUUUGCUCUGAAUUCCCCCAAGAAACUGUUCAGCUAUCUGCAGCUUGCUUGGACUUUGAAGCGGAACAGAGGAGGAGAUGGUACACACAAUUCUUGCUCAGUUAUGAUCAGUUUUGAGAGAGGCUAGCAACAAAAUUUUGAGGUUUUUCAUCUCUCUAUAUUGGUAUGGAUACAAGUGUGUUAAAUAACAGUCAUGGGGAUUGCCAUUUUGUCAUUCAAUUCAAGAUACAGCAGGUGCCUACUGCCUAUUCAUCGUGCCCCCAAAAUAAAAUCCUCACGUGGAAUCAAAUCUUCAUGCGGAUUGGCAAUGCCAUCAGACAUUCGUGGUUCGGUCAGGAUAAAUAGGUUGUGUCUGGUAUCUACUGAUCCAUGUGAAAAAAAUCUGAACCCCGAAUUCUGAAUAAUCUUUUUUGUUAUGCAUAUGUAUGGAAUUUCUAGCAUUCUCUA